rnacentral:rRNA from 1 species
CUAUCACUCUUGGAUGGACCUGCGGUGCAUUAGCUAGUUGGUAGGGUAACGGUCUACCAAGGCGAUGAUGCAUAGCCGAGUUCGAGAGACUGAUCGGCCACAUUGGGACUGAGACACGGCCCAAACUCCUACGGGAGGCAGCAGUAGGGAAUCUUCCACAAUGGACGCAAGUCUGAUGGAGCAACGCCGCGUGAGUGAAGAAGGGUUUCGGCGUCGUAAAGCUCUGUUGUUGGUGAAGAAGGACAGGGGUAGUAACUGACCUUUGUUUGUACGGUAAUCAAUUAGAAAGUCACGGCUAACUACGUGCCAGCAGCCGCGGUAAAU